rnacentral:rRNA from 1 species
UACGGGGGGGGGCAAGCGUUUGUUCGGAAUUACUGGGCGUAAAGGGCGCGUAGGCGGUUUGCUAAGUUGGACGUGAAAACUCUGGGCUUAACCCAGAGCCUGCAUCCAAAACUGGCAAGCUGGAGUAUUGGAGGGGGAAGCGGAAUUCCUGGUGUAGCAGUGAAAUGCGUAGAUAUCAGGAGGAACACCGGUGGCGAAGGCGGCUUCCUGGACAAUAACUGACGCUGAGGAGCGAAAGCCAGGGGGAGCAAACGGG